rnacentral:rRNA from 1 species
GACGAACCGUGCGAACGUUAUUCGGAAUCACUGGGCUUAAAGCGCGUGUAGGCGGGACGGCACGUCGGUCGCUGAAAGCCCCCAGCUCAACCGGGGAAGGGGCGCCGAUACGACCGUCCUCGAGGGACGUAGGGGGACCUGGAACUUCCGGUGGAGCGGUGAAAUGCGUUGAGAUCGGAAGGAACGCCCGUGGCGAAAGCGAGGUCCUGGACGUUUACUGACGCUGAGACGCGAAAGCCAGGGGAGCGAUCGGG